GCUGGUCGUCUGGGAGGGGCCAGUUGCUACGGGGGUUGCUAGGACGACGGACAUGCUGUGCUUGCCUCUUCUGCUGCAUGGCCUGAUUGACCCCGGCGACGUAACGCGCAAACUCUGGAUCUGAGCCAACUCUACACACGGAGCACUUCGUUUCGCAGGGACCGUUAUUACUGACGCACCACCCUCUAAACUCUGUACUAGAGAGCUGCACUCCCACGGGACCCGGGACACAAACGAGUGCGAAGAAGACAAAGAAGCAUCACUGAGUGCUACAGAUGUUACUUCAUUAUUAAAGAAUAGAACAAACAACAAUA